rnacentral:rRNA from 1 species
UACGUAGGGGGCAAGCGUUGUCCGGAUUUACUGGGCGUAAAGAGCGCGCAGGCGGUCGUUCAAGUCGCGUGUGAAAGUCCCCGGCUCAACUGGGGAGGGUCACGCGAUACUGAUCGACUGGAAGGCAGGAGAGGGUAGUGGAAUUCCCGGUGUAGUGGUGAAAUACGUAGAUAUCGGGAGGAACACCAGUGGCGAAGGCGACUACCUGGCCUGUUCUUGACGCUGAGGCGCGAAAGCUAGGGGAGCAAACGGG